CGCUCUGCCCCGCCCCGACCUGCGCCAGCCAACCAUGAGUCCCCCCGCCUCCACGAAUCCCCGCCCACUCCGCCGCGGACCAAUCCACACUGUCUCCCAGCCCUCGUGUCCGCCCCAAGUCGCCCCCGACCAAUCGCUGAUUUUCACGGAGCUUCACUUGCCCGCCCCUAGCAGUAUUGACCAAUAAUAAGCAGCCGAGCUCUCCCAGGGUCGGUCGUUGAAAGCAGCUAUGUACCGCCUCCCGAACUAGCGGACCAAUCGCAAGUAAGUGUUGCCCUGACAUCCAGCGUGCCCUGGGGGAACUUUAAACCCCCCUUUCCCGCCCCUUUCUGAGCCGGCCUAUGGAUAACAGUAACCACACCCCCGGAUGCCACUAUUGGCCAAUCGCUGCCUGUUGCCCCGCCUCCCGCGUUGAGAUGGCCAAUCUUAGGCAGGUACUACAGUCUGGGUUUGAGUGCCUUCCAGAUUUCCAGAUUCUCCUGGAGUUGGUGACAAGAGUGGGCUUGACCGCUACAGGAGACUGAAGUCUCCUCCUGCAGAGCCUUCUGGAAGUUGGACGUGGGGAAGAAGCCUCAGCUCUGCACCUCAUCCAGAUGUUGACCUUGGUCCUGACCUUUCCCGGGUCUUAGACCUCAGUUGCCUAAAAAUAAACGUUAGACACUGUCCUGGGCUGAAUCAUAUCACAGCAGCAUUGUGCUGUUGUAGAAACUGUGACCUCCUCGUUUUCUGUAGGGGAAAAUGUCAUCUGUGUUGCAGAAAACUGACCACCGGCCAAAUCCUGUUCCUGCCUGGUUUUAUAUUACGGCUGCGUAGAAUUAUCCUGAUCUGCCUGAAUUCUGGGAUUUGUUCCUUCCCUCCUGAUUUGGCAUCACUGAAAACUAGGACUGCGCCUUCCCAAUGCUCCGCCAGUGCAGCUGCACAACUUCAUGUAAAUGGCAAAGAAAUCUUCACAACGGACCGUGUAUAACAUGCGCUGUGGAUGGAAUCCCGGGCCCCACACAGGCUAGAACAAGACCGUUCGCCCCUGAGCCACGAGCCCAACCCCUGAGAUGCUGCGGUGGCUGCUGCUGAUUUUUUGGUUCUGGGGAUUGAACCCAGGGAUGCUUAACCACUAAGCCACAUCCCAGCCCUUUUUAUUUUUUAGAGACAGGGCCUCGCUAAAUUGCUGAGGCUGACUUUGAACUUGUGAUCCUCCUGCCUCAGCCUCCCAAGCCACUGGGAUUCCAGGUGUGCGUCACCGCGCCCAGCUUGACUUUUCCACUUUUGAAAACUAUCCAAGGGGCUGGGGUGUAGCUCAGUGGCUGCCCAAAGCCCUGGGUUCCAUUCCCAGUGCUGCAAAAAAUGGAAUAAAAUAAAUCAUCACAA